UGGGGAAUAUUGCACAAUGGGCGCAAGCCUGAUGCAGCCAUGCCGCGUGUAUGAAGAAGGCCUUCGGGUUGUAAAGUACUUUCAGCGGGGAGGAAGGUGUUGUGGUUAAUAACCACAGCAAUUGACAUUACCCGCAGAAGAAGCACCGGCUAACUCCGUGCCAGCAGCCGCGGUAAUACGGAGGGUGCAAGCGUUAAUCGGAAUUACUGGGCGUAAAGCGCACGCAGGCGGUCUGUCAAGUCGGAUGUGAAAUCCCCGGGCUCAACCUGGGAACUGCAUCCGAAACUGGCAGGCUUGAGUCUUGUAGAGGGGGGUAGAAUUCCAGGUGUAGCGGUGAAAUGCGUAGAGAUCUGGAGGAAUACCGGUGGCGAAGGCGGCCCCCUGGACAAAGACUGACGCUCAGGUGCGAAAGCGUGGGGAGCAAACA
rnacentral:rRNA from 1 species